rnacentral:lncRNA from 1 species
UGUUAAUUAGAGAUAUAUGAUGUUAUAGGAGGAUUAUAGCUCGGAGGAUCGAGCACGAGUGAUUUCCAGGAUUCGCGAGUUAUCGAGAUAUACGAGGUGAGUCUUCUCACUAUACUUUACCUUGAGUAGGUAAUCAGAGUUAUGUGACAGAGUAUGUGUAUGCUAUAUGUAUGUUAUGUGUUGUACUGCAUUAUUUCUAUGUGAUUUAUGCUGUGCAUGUUUAUAGAGUUGGAACCGGAAGGUUCCCAGAGUUAGAACCAGUGGGUUCACAGAGUAGGGUCUACGGACCCACAGAGUUAUAGCCUCGAGUGGCUAAUAUGUGUUAUGUGUGGUAUUUUGGGGAACUCACUAAGCUUUGUGCUUACAGUGUUAGUGUUGUUUGUUUCAGGUACUAGUGAUGACCGUGGGAAGGCGCCGGCUUGAUCUGUACACACGCAUGGGAUUUUUAUGAUAUGUGAUCUUGGGAUUUUGUAUGAUGUGAAUUGGAGUUUUAAACUUGAUGUUUUAUGAAAAUUAAAUGAAAAAUGUUUUUAUAUUUUGCGAAAAAUUAUUUUGAAAUUCACGGUGUUACAAGUUGGUAUCAGAGCCUUGGUUUGAGGGAUUCGAGUACACCUUCGGGCGUAUUUGAACUCAAACUGAGGAUUUGAGAAGUAUUUUCAAAAAGAGUAAAAGAUUUUUGAAAAACGCAGAGCAGAGUUGUGUGUAUGAUCAGUCCGCGCCCGAAUGGUGAUUUCCCAAAAUACCCUCACGUUAUGUGAUAUUGAUACUGAUUUGUUGUAUUCUUAUGCUAGAGUAGGCUAGGUAUUCCUAUUAGGACUAGAGUGGCCUGAUUUGUGAUGCCUUAGCCUAGGAAGAGGUGAGCUGCUAUGAGAUGCUUGAGAGUGAGUAGGUAGCAGCGAGGGGCUUAUGAGAGAUCUAUUAGAGAGUGGUCUAUGCAUGAUAGAGUACUUGGAAUUUGGGAUCCGAAGAGGAGGACUUGGGGUGUAUUCUGAUACGGUGCGGACAGUAGUAUUGGGCCCGUACUACUGAAAGCACCGGAGCGGUGUACAGCCCAAGUAAGAAUCUUUGGAAUACCAAGGAUCAAGGAGGAAUGAGUUGUCGAGUGUGAGCAUGCUCGAAUGGGUUCUAAUUUAUCGUAUGUUGUAUUUCAGAGGUAGAUCAUGGUGAGGACACGUUUGAUGCCUGAGAGCAGUGAUACCAGUGCUGAGGAGAUCCGCCAGUUCAUCCACGAGGAGGUGGCUGCGGCCAUCAGGGCAAAGAUACUAGAGAUGUUUGGGUCUAUUAAGACCACGCUUAUUGAGGCCUUUGUCGAGCGUUAUGCCCCUGUUUCUGAGGUUGUUGUUGCAGCGGCCACCGCAACUAUUGCUGCCGCGAGGCCGCAAGGUGGUGAUGCGUUGCUGUUCUGGGAGUCAGCAACACAAAACCACCAGAGUUUGAUGGGACCCAGGAUCCGGUGGCAGCUAUGAGGUGGAUUUCUGAUAUAGAGGGGUGUUUCUUCACUUGCUCAUCUCCUGAGCAUUUGAAGGUUCGGUUCGCGCUGAACCAGCUUCGCUUGGGAGCGAAGGACUGGUGGAAGUUUGUGACGGCGCAUUUUACGCCUGCUGAGCUUGCGGCAGUGACCUGGGAGAGGUUCACUGCCAUGUUCCGAGAUGAGUACGUUCCCCAGGUGGAGAGGGAGCGUUUGGCCCAGGAGUUUCUGACCCUCAAGCAGGGUACUGAGUCAGUUACAGCGAUUACCAGGAUGUUCCAUGAGAGGGCGAUGUUCUGCCCUGAGCACGUGUCCACUGAGCAGGCACGUAUGAGCCGAUAUUUGAGCAUUUUGAGGCGAGACAUUCGGGAGUUCGCGGCGAACUCCUCGUACCGGACAUUUGCUGAGCUUCAGGCAAAUGCCCGGAAGAGGGAGAUUGAGCUAGAGACUCAGGCCAGGGAGGAGGCGGAGUCUCAGGGGAGGGAUCGGCGACCGGCACAGUCUCAGCCGGCAGCCAAGCGGGCCAAGCCCGCUGAUCCCAAACCAGGGAGCCAGAAGGGCCGCACUUGUGGGAAGUGUGGCAAGGGUCAUGAUGGAGUCUGCAGAGCGGGAUCUUGCUACAAGUGUGGCAAGGAGGGGCAUAUGGCCAAGGACUGCCCCAAGGGGUUUGCGGUGUGUUUUCACUGCAACCAGACCGGACACCGGAAGGCGGAGUGUCCGCAGUUGCGGGGAUCAGCUCAGGGAGCACCUCAGGGAUCUGCCCCUGCCGCCAUCAGAGCUACAGAGAGUCGGCCAGUGAAGGCCGAGGCGCCGAGGGCACGAGGGAGAGCCUUUCAGCUGACCGCGGAGGAGGUCCGCGCAGCGCCCGAUGUCGUGGCUGGUAUGUAUUCUUUCAUGUAUUUAUUUUGAUGUUGAGAUAUUAUGCUUAUGUUAUGUUAUGCGUAGGUACUUUUCUUGUGAAUUCUGUACCUGCCUUGGUGUUAUUUGACUCGGGUGCGAGUCGGUCUUUUGUAUCUUUGGCUUUUAGUCAGCAUAUCAGUGUUAGUCGUGAGGCGUUGAGUCGGCCUCUGAGAGUUUCCAUAGCUGAUGAGAGGGUGAUAUAUGCAACGGAGGUUCUCCGAGGUUGUGUAGUCGAGAUUUUCGGUGUUGAGUUCCCGAAUGAUCUGGUUCCUAUUGCGAUGGGUGAUGUCUGUGUCAUUGUGGGCAUGGACUGGUUGAGCAGAUUCGGUGUGGUUAUCGGCUGCGAGCGUCAACUGGUGACCAUACGAGACCUUAGUGCGGGAGUUCUUUCGGUGUACGGCGAGGGUACACGUUUAGGAUUAGCAUUUUGUUCGGCCGCUAGGGCAAGGCAGUGUCUACAGCAGGGCUGUAAGGGUUUUGUGGCGUAUGUGAUGGAUACGCGGGUGGACUCCGAGAGGCCGAGUUCAAUAGAGGAGGUUCCGAUGGAGGACUUUGUGGUAUACUGUGAUGCAUCGAUUUUGGGGUUGGGAGCGGUGCUGAUGCAGAGGGGGCAUGUGAUAGCAUAUGCAUCGAGGCAGAUGAAGCCUCAUGAGACGAGAUAUCCCACCCAUGAUCUAGAGUUGGGGGCAGUGGUGUUCGCCCUCAAGAUUUGGCGUCACUACUUGUAUGGGGUUCGGUGUACGAUAUACACGGACCAUAAGAGUUUGAAGUAUUUGAUGGAUCAGCCCAACCUAAAUAUGCGUCAGAGAAGGUGGUUGGAUGUGGUCAAGGAUUAUGAUUGUGAGAUCCUGUACCACCCAGGCAAGGCUAAUGUGGUAGCCGAUGCAUUGAGCCGCAGGGCGGAGAGCAUCCCGCCGCGGGAGGUAUGUUUGAGAUUGACCGUGAUAGCUCCAGUGUUGGAUUCCAUUCGUGGGGCACAGGCUGAGGCUGUGCAACCUGAGAUGCAGAAGACGGAACGGAUUGUUGGUUUGGUUUCAGAGUUUGUUACCGAUGGUCGGGGGUUAUGACAUUUCAGGGAAGUAUCUGGGUGCCAUUUAUGGGAGGAACGCGUACCAUUUUGAUGGAAGAGGCUCAUCGGUCAAAAUUUUCGAUCCAUCCUGGGGCCACUAAGAUGUAUUUGGAUCUGAGAAAGGAGUAUUGGUGGCCCUGUAUGAAGAGGGAUGUCGCGUGGUUUGUUGAGAGGUGCUUGACCUGCCGUAGGGUUAAGGCUGAGCACCAGAGGCCGCAUGGUAAGUUGCAGCCAUUGGAGAUUCCCGAGUGGAAGUGGGAACAGAUCACUAUGGAUUUCAUCACCAAAUUGCCAAGGACUGCCAGGGGACUUGAUGCAAUCAGUGAGAGUUCUUCAGAAGAGAAACUGGCGGAGGUGUAUGUGAGGGAAGUGAUAUCUCGGCAUGGGGUACCGAUCUCGAUUGUUUCAGACCAUGAUGUGCGUUUCACUUCCAGAUUCUAGAAGAAGUUUCAUGAGGAGUUGGGUAUUAGACUGCAUUUUAGUACCGCAUAUCAUCCCCAGACAGACGGUCAGAAUGAGCGGAUGAUUCAGACGCUCGAGGACCCCCAUUUGUUGGGGAGAGGUUGGACAGAGGGUGAUGGCAGUACAGAGAUCGUGCUUCAGACGACAGAGCAGAUCUAGCAGGUCAGACAGAGGUUGUUGACCGCUCAGAGCCGACAGAAGAGUUAUGCAGACAGACGCCGGUCCGAGCUUGAGUUUCAGAUCGGCGACCUUGUACUCCUGAAGGUCUCUCCUUGGAAAGGAGUGAUUCGAUUCUGGAAGAGGGGCAAGUUGGGGCCCCGAUAUAUUGGUCCUUUCCAUGUGAUCACGAGGGUAGGCCGGGUAGCCUAUCGUUUGGAUUUGCCAGCAGAGUUGGGGCANGCAGAGUUGGGGCAGAUUCACGACACUUUUCAUGUGUCGCAGCUGAGGAAGUGUAUAGCCGAUGAGUCGGCAGUGGUUCCAUUAGAGGAUAUUCAGGUGGAUGCGAGCCUGAAUUAUGCCGAGAGACCAGUGGCCAACAGAGAUCGGAAAAUCAAGGUUUUGAGGAACAAGGACGUACCCCUGGUGUUGGUUCAGUGGCAACAUCGGAAGGGAUCAGAGAUUACCUGGGAGCCGGAGCGUGAGAUGCGAGAGCAGCAUCUGGAGCUAUUUGCAGAGCGAGACUUCGAGGGCGAAUUCUAGUUCUAGUGGGGGAGAAUUGUAACAGCCUGGAUUUCCAGGUAUCUUUUAUUCAUAUAUUUGGCGUUUUGUGAGGGGACUCGGCGAGUUGGAGCUCAAACUCGCCGAGUAGGAUCGCGGUUCUGGACGCGGGUUCGCGCCUGGACUCGGCGAGUCCAAGGAAUGGACUCGGCGAGUCCGCGCUGUUUAAUGAAACCCUAAUUUCCCGGUCCUAAGCCCUAUUUAAAGGACCUUAUGGCCCUUCAUUGCGGCUACCUUGACCUUGAGAGCACCAAAGCAGCUGAGGGUUCUUGUGAGUGAGAUAAGAGGCCAUUAUUCACCAAAUUUGUGUGUAUUUGCAAGAAAAUAAGGAGAAAGUCAAGCUACAAGAGUUGGGGAGCUUGGAUCUACUCCCAUUUCGACAGGGGAAGCUUCUUGAGGUAUCAUUCAGAGCUUAUUUCUGUAUUUUUGUUGAUAUGGUCAAAUCUAGGGUUUCUUCAUGCCUUGUUUGCUUUGUAAUUGGAGUGUGAGAGGUCCCAUGGGGAUAUGGUACCUAGAUCUGGACCUUAGCAGGUCCAGAGAGUCCCAAAUGCCAUGCUUUAUGUCCUUCCUUUUGGGUUGGAGACUAGGCUUGCCAUCUUAGAAGUCAUUUCUUCAAAAAGAGCCUUGCAGGUGUUUCAUGGUAGCCAAGACUGUGACUUUACGUGAUGAAUGAGCUUAGGAGGGCCAGAUCUAUGAGUGGAUGGAGUGGAUCUGACCUCAGAAGCGAGAUUGAGUUGAUGCAUGGCAUGGACUCGCCGAGUCUGAAGAACAGACUCGGCGAGUAGCAUGAAGAUUGUCCUUAACCACUCAGCGAGUGGUCUUGCCGAGUUAAGGGUUGACUCAGUGAGUCAGGGAGAGUUAGAGAGGGUUGACAGGUGGACUGAGUCGAGCUGGAACUCGCCGAGUUGUUCUUGAGACUCGGCGAGUUGAGUCGUGGUGGCCCCGCGAUUCAUGCGAGGUGGAACUCGUCGAGUCAGGGGAGUACUCGACGUGUCAAAAGAGAAUCCUAGAGAGUUGGUGAAAACAUUUAGACUCGUCGAGUCGCUUUAGUGCACUCGCCGAGUCCGGUCAAAGUUGACCAUUGACCGUUUACCAGAGUUGACUAGUGUUGACUUGAUAGGGGUAGUCAACCUUAGUGGUAAAAGUGUUAAUUAGAGAUAUAUGAUGUUAUACGAGGAUUAUAGCUUGGAGGAUCGAGCACAAGUGAUUUCCAGGAUUUGCGAGUUAUUGAGAUAUACGAGGUGAGUCUUCUCACUAUACUUUACCUUGAGUAGGUAAUCAGAGUUAUGUGACAGAGUAUGUGUAUGUUAUGUGUUGUACUGCAUGAUGUCUACGUGAUUUAUGUUGUGCAUGCUUAUAGAGUUGGAACCGGAAGGUUCCCAGAGUUAGAACCAGUGGGUUCGCAGAAUAGGGUCUACGGAUCCACAAAGUUAUAGCCUCGAGUGGCUAACAUGUGUUAUGUGUGUUAUUUUGGGGAAGUCACUAAGCUUUGUGCUUACAGUGUUACUGUUGUUUGUUUCAGGUACUAGUGAUGACCGUGGGAAGGCGCCGGCUUGAUUUGUACACACGCAUGAGAUUUUUAUGAUAUGUGAUCUUGGGAUUUUGUAUGAUGUGAAUUGGAGUUUUAAACUUGAUGUUUUAUGAAAAUUAAAUGAAAAAUGUUUCUAUAUUUUGCGAAAAAUUAUUUUGAAAUUCACGGUGUUACAACAAGGUUCCUUUAUUUUUCCGAAAAGUUUGUUAUCCAAGAAAAUCCCAUAUUUUCUAAUAAGAAUAGUUGAGUUAUCCGUUUAGUUACUCGGUCUAGUUAAGAACAAUUCAGUUAUCCCAGGAAAAACCCUUAUUUUCCUAAA